ACAGCCUUGCAUACGUGGUAGCUGACGCCAUUAGGGUGACGUCACUGCUUUUACGGUGGCUGGUUGGCGCUCGGUUGCUGACGUUAUCGAUUCCGGUUUUGGGAACUUGGGGCAUCUGAUCGACGAGGGCGCACAGAAAGGCAGCCUAUACACUGACGCGUUCAACGUUUCGUCACAGGCACACGGGAGAAAUCGAAGUGACAGAGGCGUAAUCAUGCUUUGUGCUUACAUUGCCGCUACAUUCCUUUGGGGAUGGUUUUGCGGAAAUCAUUGUAAGCUGCCGCUACCAAACAAAGUUAUUAUCAAGGACGGAACGACUUACAAUUCUACUGAUCCCUGUGUGCAGUACCGAUGCCACAAAGGAGCCUUCACGACAACAGAGUGCCUAGGAGCGAAAAUCGGCAAUUGCAAAAUACCGGCAACAGUCAUAAGGCUUCCUUAUCCAUCUUGCUGCGGUCAGAUGAUUUGUACGUGACAAUAAUUAAAUCAAGAUUGAAACUUG
rnacentral:lncRNA from 1 species